rnacentral:rRNA from 1 species
AUUGAACGCUGGCGGCAGGCCUAACACAUGCAAGUCGAACGAGUGGCGGACGGGUGAGUAAUGUCUGGGAAACUGCCUGAUGGAGGGGGAUAACUACUGGAAACGGUAGCUAAUACCGCAUACCAUCAGAUGUGCCCAGAUGGGAUUAGCUUGUUGGUGGGGUAACGGCUCACCAAGGCGACGAUCCCUAGCUGGUCGGAGAGGAUGACCAGCAACACUGGAACUGGCACACGGCCCAGACUCCUACGGGUGGCAGCAGUGGGGAAUAUUGCACAAGGGGCGCAAGCCUGAUGCAGCCAUGCCGGGUGUAUAAAGAAGGCUUUCGGGUUGCAAAGUCCUUUCAGCGGGGGGGCGUUACCCGCAGAAGAAGCACCGGCUAACUCCGUGCCAGCGGCCGCGUUAUUA